GACGAACGCUGGCGGCGUGCCUAACACAUGCAAGUCGAACGGGACCAGAUGUCAGACAGCGGACAUCAGAAGACAGAUUACAGAUGGCAGAAUACAGAUUCAGAAGAGGGCGUGGAGGAAACCAAGCCUAGAUUCUAAUAUCCUAAGUCUGAGCAUUAGUAUCUGAACUCUGGUAUCUGGCGUCUGAUGUCUGGUCUAGUGGCGGACGGGUGAGUAACGCGUGAGCAACCUGCCUUACAGAGGGGGAUAACAUUCGGAAACAAAUGCUAAUACCGCAUAACAUAUAUUUACGGCAUCGUAGAUAUAUCAAAGGAGCAAUCCGCUGUAAGAUGGGCUCGCGUCCGAUUAGAUAGUUGGUGAGGUAAUGGCUCACCAAGUCUGCGAUCGGUAGCCGGACUGAGAGGUUGAACGGCCACAUUGGGACUGAGACACGGCCCAGACUCCUACGGGAGCAGCAGU
rnacentral:rRNA from 1 species